rnacentral:rRNA from 1 species
CCUACGGGCGGCAGCAGUGGGGAAUAUUGCACAAUGGGCGCAAGCCUGAUGCAGCCAUGCCGCGUGUGUGAAGAAGGCCUUCGGGCUGUAAAGCACUUUCAGCGGGGAGGAAGGCGUUAAGGUUAAUAACCUUGGCGAUUGACGUUACCCGCAGAAGAAGCACCGGCUAACUCCGUGCCAGCAGCCGCGGUAAUACGGAGGGUGCAAGCGUUAAUCGGAAUUACUGGGCGUAAAGCGCACGCAGGCGGUCUGUCAAGUCGGAUGUGAAAUCCCCGGGCUCAACCUGGGAACUGCAUUCGAAACUGGCAGGCUAGAGUCUUGUAGAGGGGGGUAGAAUUCCAGGUGUAGCGGUGAAAUGCGUAGAGAUCUGGAGGAAUACCGGUGGCGAAGGCGGCCCCCUGGACAAAGACUGACGCUCAGGUGCGAAAGCGUGGGGAGCAAACAGGAUUAGAUACCCGGGUAGUC